AUUGAACACUGGCGGCAGGCCUAACACAUGCAAGUCGAGCGAGCGGCGGAAGGGUGAGUAAUGUCUGGGAAACUGCCUGAUGGAGGGGGAUAACUACUGGAAACGGUAGCUAAUACAGCAUACCAUCAGAUGUGCACAGAUGGGAGUCGCUAGUAGGUGGGGUAACGGCUCACCUAGGCGACGCACCCUAGCUGGUCUGAGAGGAUGACCAGCCACACUGGAAGUGAGACACGGUCCAUGCUCCUACGGUAGGAAGCAGGGGGGAAUAUUGAACAAGGGGCGCAAGCCUGAUGCAGACAUGCCGCGUGUGUGAAGAAGGCCUUCGGGUUGUAAAUCACUUUCAGCGGGGAGGCGUUACCCGCAGAAGAAGCACCGGCUAACUCCGGGCCAGCAGCCGCGGUAAUAC
rnacentral:rRNA from 1 species